UAAACACCUCAUUCAACUAAAAGCUUGUUUAAAAAGCCAGGUUUUCAGCUGCUUUAUACACAAUGUGAGUAGUAAAGCAUUCGAAAGCCUAGGCUCCUCUAGUUAUGUACUUUGUUUGGGGACCAUGUAAUAAUGGGCACAUAUGAGUUGUCAGUAGUCCAGUAGUCCGUAAUUCUGUGUUGUCAAAGAUCUUGCUCAGACAUAUAUUCAUCAUCCAUUAAUAGAGUAAAUGCCUUAAAGUAAAUACCUCCUUUUAGUUUUCUAAAAGGACUUUUAGUUUUACAUUGCGAUAGUGAUCCAAAAAUGCCAGGCACCCAAACACUACACUAAUCACUGAAUGGUUUCAAGAUCAACUUGAAACCUUGUCCUGACCAAAUGAUCACAUACAGUGUGAUGGGAGUGGUGGGAGUUAAUUUGGAUGAAGUAGGAUUCCAAUCCAGGUCUACUCUCCGUAAACCUGUCACAACCAGCUAUCAUGUGGCCCUCUAGAGCACUUAACCAUUACUGUGUUUCCAAGACCACCGGCUAAAUUGAGAGCAUGGCUGAAGCGGGGAUGAGCAAGAAGCAACAACAAACACUGCCUACAUGUUCUUCUAAUGAAGGCCUGGUGGAAACAGCUGAUGUAUCUGCCAAAUGACUUAAACGAGAUGGGUGUAGUACUGUCCAGAGUGAAUAACAGUUGUCGAAUGACCUCGAGAGAGGCUGUCAACACA